AUGACGCAGCUAGUGAGGUUCUAACCGAGGCGCGUCUAUUGCUGGUUGAAAACUAUUUCCAAACCCCCUCUUCGGCCUGGGUUCGCCCCUGGCCGUUGAGAAUUUUUGGAAGGGCUCCCUUCGGGGUUAAGCCCUACAAUCCUUAGUUCUAAAAAAAUUUCAUUUGACUCAACUUAGUGCAUAAAAUCCUGUGGUCCUCAGCCUUUUUGCUAUGGAUGAACAAAACUUUUGACCAGGCAGACGAGGUUUAUUCACAUUCACUUAGAAUAUGGGGUGCUAUCCCCUUAGGCAGUUCAAAUUCUGCAGCAGUUGGAUAUAUAUAUAUAUAUGAACUAGGAAAGAACAUAGAUUUUCCAACUAUAGGACUAGAGGUUUGAGAAUGCAGCAGCUCUGUAAACUGACUGGUUAAGAGAUCAAUCAAAAUCUUGGCGGAUGCACUCUACGGAUCAUUUCAGCGACAACAACUGCACUAUUGGUGUAAUCACUUUAUGGUUGCCUUUCUUUCUUCUUGGAUCAUGCCUGGUGUUAGGUCCUGCGUAAUCAUAAUCUAGCACUGCAGCAACUUUGUUUGAUUUUCUCGGAUGACACAAUGUGCAACAACAUAAUGAUUAAUUAACAACUUUGAACUAUUGAGUA